AGGACGAACGCUGGCGGCGUGCCUAAUACAUGCAAGUCGAGCGGACAGAAGGGAGCUUGCUCCCGGAUGUUAGCGGCGGACGGGUGAGUAACACGUGGGUAACCUGCCUGUAAGACUGGGAUAACUCCGGGAAACCGGAGCUAAUACCGGAUAGUUCCUUGAACCGCAUGGUUCAAGGAUGAAAGACGGUUUCGGCUGUCACUUACAGAUGGACCCGCGGCGCAUUAGCUAGUUGGUGGGGUAAUGGCUCACCAAGGCGACGAUGCGUAGCCGACCUGAGAGGGUGAUCGGCCACACUGGGACUGAGACACGGCCCAGACUCCUACGGGAGGCAGCAGUAGGGAAUCUUCCGCAAUGGACGAAAGUCUGACGGAGCAACGCCGCGUGAGUGAUGAAGGUUUUCGGAUCGUAAAGCUCUGUUGUUAGGGAAGAACAAGUGCGAGAGUAACUGCUCGCACCUUGACGGUACCUAACCAGAAAGCCACGGCUAACUACGUGCCAGCAGCCGCGGUAAUACGUAGGUGGCAAGCGUUGUCCGGAAUUAUUGGGCGUAAAGGGCUCGCAGGCGGUUUCUUAAGUCUGAUGUGAAAGCCCCCGGCUCAACCGGGGAGGGUCAUUGGAAACUGGGAAACUUGAGUGCAGAAGAGGAGAGUGGAAUUCCACGUGUAGCGGUGAAAUGCGUAGAGAUGUGGAGGAACACCAGUGGCGAAGGCGACUCUCUGGUCUGUAACUGACGCUGAGGAGCGAAAGCGUGGGGAGCGAACA
rnacentral:rRNA from 1 species